rnacentral:rRNA from 1 species
CAGUCGCCGCGGGAAUACAGAGGGUGCGAGCGUUAAUCGGAUUUACUGGGCGUAAAGCGUGCGUAGGCGGCUUCUUAAGUCGGAUGUGAAAUCCCUGAGCUUAACUUAGGAAUUGCAUUCGAUACUGGGAAGCUAGAGUAUGGGAGAGGAUGGUAGAAUUCCAGGUGUAGCGGUGAAAUGCGUAGAGAUCCGGAGGAAUACCGAUGGCGAAGGCAGCCAUCUGGCCUAAUACUGACGCUGAGGUACGAAAGCAUGGGGAGCAAACAGGAUUAGAUACCCCCGUAGUCCCUGUCUCUUAUAA